UCGCGGUAUGGGAUGGGGUCGCGUCCUAUCAGCUUGACGGCGGGGUAACGGCCCACCGUGGCUUCGACGGGUAGCCGGCCUGAGAGGGCGACCGGCCACAUUGGGACUGAGAUACGGCCCAGACUCCUACGGGAGGCAGCAGUGGGGAAUAUUGCACAAUGGGCGCAAGCCUGAUGCAGCGACGCCGCGUGAGGGAUGGAGGCCUUCGGGUUGUAAACCUCUUUUAUCGGGGAGCAAGCGAGAGUGAGUUUACCCGUUGAAUAAGCACCGGCUAACUACGUGCCAGCAGCCGCGGUAAUACGUAGGGUGCAAGCGUUAUCCGGAAUUAUUGGGCGUAAAGGGCUCGUAGGCGGUUCGUCGCGUCCGGUGUGAAAGUCCAUCGCUUAACGGUGGAUCCGCGCCGGGUACGGGCGGG
rnacentral:rRNA from 1 species